rnacentral:lncRNA from 1 species
GUGUAGCUCACUUCCUGUGCCUGUGCCUCUGCUGCUGCUUAUGUCUGACUCUCUCUCUCUGUUAAGACUGUUGUCCUCACAGAUAUGGAUUUUUUGAUGGCAGAGCCAACUUAUAAACUUCUUAUUUUUUUAUGCAUGAUACAAGGAACGUACGGAGUGCUUAUACAUUAUAAUGUGACCGCAACUGCUGUGGAGGGACAGAACGUCAGCCUGCAGUGCAUUGUGGGAGAGGGGCAUGACGUCACAAUUAUCCAGCUGGAAUGGAUUAAACAGCAAAAAGAAAAUGAGAAGAUCGAUCAGAAGAUUGUUGUGUUCCAUCCUGGGUACUCAACAAAUUAUAUUAAGUCCGGUUCUCUUCUGGAGACAGUGACCAGUUCAAAAACUUGGAAGCUGCAGGGCUCAAUCCUGACCCUGUAUAAAGUUACAGUGAAUGACGGUGGAAACUAUAUUUGCGAAAUUACAUCUUAUCCUAAUGGCUCAAUUAAAAGAACCACAAAGCUCCAAGUCACAGAGCCUCCAGCAUCAGUGAAGAUGUCAUAUCCAUAUGGAUUCAUAAAAGAGGGAGAUGACGUGAAAAUAACUUGUUCAGCUAGCCCUCCACCACUCCGUUAUAAACUUGCAAGGUCAAAGGACCAGAUAAUUUGGCUGGAAAGCUCAAAAGGAGAGUUCAUUAUAUCACACAUCACCAGAAACGACAGCGAUGUGUACAUCUGUUUACCUGAAUGGGACUCAUUAGUACGAAAUCAGCAAGGUCUCAAUGCCACUAUGGAACUGACUGUGAAUUUUCUUGAUGGCAUUGAGUGUAACACAAGCAGCCCUUUAAACGUCAGUGUUGGUGAGGAUGUGAUGAUUUCUUGUAUCGCAAAAGCAUCACAGUACUUGCAGUUGCAGUAUAAGUGGAUGAGGGGUGGCACAACACUGUCUCUGUCAGAGACUUUGUCUCUGACCUCCGUAACAUCUGACCAGUCAGGAACAUACCAACUGACAGCUGUCUUUUUGAAGACUCAACUCCAGACAGACAUGGAGUUUUCUAUCCAUGUUCUCUCAAAGCAAAGCCAAGGAAUGACAACUCCUUGCCCAAAUCUGAUCACUUCCUGGCUAGCACAAUAA